rnacentral:tRNA from 1 species
GGGAGAGUGGCGGAAUGGUAUACGGCAGUAGAUUGACGGAAGCGCCCUAAAGUCGUCGUUAACAAAGCUCUUGGGUUUGAGAGUUCGAAUCUCUCCUCUCCCG